UAAGGCCCUGAGCAGUACAAGGUUGGU
rnacentral:piRNA from 1 species